rnacentral:rRNA from 1 species
AGCUAAUAGAUACCCGGUAGUCCACGCCCUAAACGAUGUCUACUAGUUGUUGGUGGAGUAAAAUCCAUGAGUAAACGCAGCUAAACGCGUGAAGUAGACCGCCUGGGGAGUACGGUCGCAAGAUUAAAACUCAAAGGAAUUGACGGGGGCCCGCACAAGCGGUGGAUUAUGUGGAUUAAAUUCGAUGCAACGCGAAAAACCUUACCUGGCCUUGGCAUGCCACUAACGAAGCAGAGAUGCAUUAGGUGCCCGUAAGGGAAAGUGGACACAGGUGCUGCAUGGCUGUCGUCGGCUCGUGUCGUGAGAUGUUGGGUUAAGUCCCGCAACGAGCGCAACCCUUGCCAUUAAUUGCCAUCAUUUAGUUGGGCACUUUAAUGGGACUGCCGGUGACAAACCGGAGGAAGGUGGGGAUGACGUCAAGUCCUCAUGGCCCUUAUGGCCAGGGCUUCACACGUAAUACAAUGGUCGGUACAGAGAGUUGCCAACCCGCGAGGGGAGCUAAUCUCAGAAAGCCGAUCGUAGUCCGGAUUGUUCU